AUGGGGAUCAUGAACUCGUUUAUCAACAAUACUGUUUGGAAGCUUGCUCUAGAAGCUUCAAGGCUUCCGAGGUGUAACAAGAAGAAUGCAUUGUCGUCCAGUUUCUGAAGGUACAAAGGCAGUUACUAUGUUUAAUAGUUCAUGGAAAGGUUUGGGUAGACUUUUGUGGUUUUGUUUGGUUUAGAUCUGUAAUAAGUGGUUUUGAUGAAAUGUAAUUCGUAUUGGUGAUGGAUUUUUUAUUUUAAAUGAUGAAGUGUUUUGAAAAAUGUUG
rnacentral:lncRNA from 1 species